GUGAGGAAUAUUGCGCAAUGGAGGCAACUCUGACGCAGCCAUGCCGCGUGCAGGAAGAAGGCGCUACGCGUUGUAAACUGCUUUUAACCGGGAAGAAACCCCAGGACGUGUCCUGGGUUGACGGUACCGGAGGAAUAAGCACCGGCUAACUUCGUGCCAGCAGCCGCGGUAAUACGAAGGGUGCAAGCGUUAUCCGGAUUCAUUGGGUUUAAAGGGUGCGUAGGCGGAGCGUUAAGUCAGUGGUGAAGUCCUGCAGCUUAACUGUAGACUUGCCAUUGAUACUGGCGCUCUUGAGUGCGCUUGAAGUGGGCGGAAUGUGCCGUGUAGCGGUGAAAUGCUUAGAUAUGGCACAGAACACCAAUUGCGAAGGCAGCUCACUAAGGCGAUACUGACGCUGAGGCACGAAAGCGUGGGGAUCGAACAGGAUUAGAAACCCUGGUAGUCC
rnacentral:rRNA from 1 species